UAGAAGAUUGGUGCCCGUACCGCAAACCGACACAGGUAGUCAAGAUGAGAAUUCUAAGGUGAGCGAGCGAACUCUCGUUAAGGAACUCGGCAAAAUGACCCCGUAACUUCGGGAGAAGGGGUGCUCUUUGAGGUUCACGCUUCGAAGAGCCGCAGUGAAUAGGCCCAAGCGACUGUUUAUCAAAAACACAGGUCUCUGCUAAACCGUAAGGUGACGUAUAGGGGCUGACGCCUGCCCGGUGCUGGAAGGUUAAGAGGAGUGGUUAGCAUUAGCGAAGCUACGAAUCGAAGCCCCAGUAAACGGCGGCCGUAACUAUAACGGUCCUAAGGUAGCGAAAUUCCUUGUCGGGUAAGUUCCGACCCGCACGAAAGGCGUAACGAUUUGGGCACUGUCUCAACGAGAGACUCGGUGAAAUCAUAGUACCGGUGAAGAUGCCGGUUACCCGCGACAGGACGGAAAGACCCCGUGGAGCUUUACUGUAGCCUGAUAUUGAAAUUCGGUACAGUUUGUACAGGAUAGGUAGGAGCCUUAGAAACGUGAGCGCUAGCUUACGUGGAGGCAUUGGUGGGAUACUACCCUAAUUGUAUUGGAUUUCUAACCCGCAACUCUUAUCGAGUUGGGAGACAGUGUCAGGCGGGCAGUUUGACUGGGGCGGUCGCCUCCUAAAGUGUAACGGAGGCGCUCAAAGGUUCCCUCAGAAUGGUUGGAAAUCAUUCAUAGAGUGUAAAGGCAUAAGGGAGCUUGACUGCGAGACCUACAAGUCGAGCAGGGUCGAAAGACGGACUUAGUGAUCCGGUGGUUCCGCAUGGAAGGGCCAUCGCUCAACGGAUAAAAGCUACCCCGGGGAUAACAGGCUUAUCUCCCCCAAGAGUUCACAUCGACGGGGAGGUUUGGCACCUCGAUGUCGGCUCAUCGCAUCCUGGGGCUGUAGUCGGUCCCAAGGGUUGGGCUGUUCGCCCAUUAAAGCGGUACGCGAGCUGGGUUCAGAACGUCGUGAGACAGUUCGGUCCCUAUCCGUCGUGGGCGUAGGAAAUUUGAGAGGCGCUGUCCUUAGUACGAGAGGACCGGGAUGGACAUACCUCUGGUGUACCAGUUGUCGUGCCAACGGCAUAGCUGGGUAGCUAUGUAUGGACGGGAUAAGUGCUGAAAGCAUCUAAGCAUGAAGCCCCCCUCAAGAUGAGAUUUCCCAACUUCGGUUAUAAGAUCCCUCAAAGAUGAUGAGGUUAAUAGGUUCGAGGUGGAAGCGUAGCGAUACGUGGAGCUGACGAAUACUAAUCGAUCGAAGACUUAAUCAA
rnacentral:rRNA from 1 species